GAUGAACGCUGGCGGCGUGCCUAAUACAUGCAAGUCGAGCGAACAGACGAGGAGCUUGCUCCUCUGACGUUAGCGGCGGACGGGUGAGUAACACGUGGAUAACCUACCUAUAAGACUGGGAUAACUUCGGGAAACCGGAGCUAAUACCGGAUAAUAUAUUGAACCGCAUGGUUCAAUAGUGAAAGACGGUUUUGCUGUCACUUAUAGAUGGAUCCGCGCCGCAUUAGCUAGUUGGUAAGGUAACGGCUUACCAAGGCAACGAUGCGUAGCCGACCUGAGAGGGUGAUCGGCCACACUGGAACUGAGACACGGUCCAGACUCCUACGGGAGGCAGCAGUAGGGAAUCUUCCGCAAUGGGCGAAAGCCUGACGGAGCAACGCCGCGUGAGUGAUGAAAGUCUUCGGAUCGUAAAACUCUGUUAUUAGGGAAGAACAAAUGUGUAAGUAACUAUGCACGUCUUGACGGUACCUAAUCAGAAAACCACGGCUAACUACGUG
rnacentral:rRNA from 1 species